rnacentral:rRNA from 1 species
AGCGGUAAGGCCCUUCGGGGUACACGAGCGGCGAACGGGUGAGUAACACGUGGGUGAUCUACCCUGUACUUCGGGAUAAGCCUGGGAAACUGGGUCUAAUACCGGAUAUGACCUUCCGAUGCAUGUCGGUGGGUGGAAAGAUUUAUCGGUACAGGAUGGGCCCGCGGCCUAUCAGCUUGUUGGUGGGGUAAUGGCCUACCAAGGCGACGACGGGUAGCCGGCCUGAGAGGGCGACCGGCCACACUGGGACUGAGACACGGCCCAGACUCCUACGGGAGGCAGCAGUGGGGAAUAUUGCACAAUGGGCGAAAGCCUGAUGCAGCGACGCCGCGUGAGGGAUGACGGCCUUCGGGUUGUAAACCUCUUUCGACAGGGACGAAGCGCAAGUGACGGUACCUGUAGAAGAAGCACCGGCCAACUACGUGCCAGCAGCCGCGGUAAUACGUAGGGUGCGAGCGUUGUCCGGAAUUACUGGGCGUAAAGAGCUUGUAGGCGGUUUGUCGCGUCGUCCGUGAAAACUUGGGGCUCAACCCCAAGCUUGCGGGCGAUACGGGCAGACUUGAGUACUGCAGGGGAGACUGGAAUUCCUGGUGUAGCGGUGAAAUGCGCAGAUAUCAGGAGGAACACCGGUGGCGAAGGCGGGUCUCUGGGCAGUAACUGACGCUGAGAAGCGAAAGCGUGGGUAGCGAACAGGAUUAGAUACCCUGGUAGUCCACGCCGUAAACGGUGGGCGCUAGGUGUGGGUUUCCUUCCACGGGAUCCGUGCCGUA